rnacentral:tRNA from 1 species
GGAAGUGUCGCCUAGUGGCCAAUGGCAGCGGUUUGCUAAAUCGCGACCCGCAAGGGUCCCGUGGGUUCGAAUCCCACCACUUCCG